CCUACGGGCGACAGCAGUGAGGAAUAUUGGUCAAUGGGCGUAAGCCUGAACCAGCCAAGUCGCGUGAGGGAUGACGGCCCUAUGGAUUGUAAACCUCUUUUACAAGGGAACAAAGUGCGGCACGUGUGCUAUUUUGUAUGUACCCUAUGAAUAAGGAUCGGCUAACUCCGUGCCAGCAGCCGCGGUAAUACGGAGGGUCCGAGCGUUAUCCGGGUUUAUUGGGUUUAAAGGGUGCGUGGGCCGCCUUUUAAGUCAGCGGGUAAAGUCUGUGGCUCAACCCUAGUAUGGCCGUUGAAACUGGGGGGCUUGAGUGUGUGUGAGGCAGGCGGAAUGCGUGGUGUAGCGGUGAAAUGCUUAGAUAUCACGCAGAACCCCGAUUGCGAAGGCAGCCUGCCGGGCCACGACUGACGCUGAUGCACGAAAGCGUGGGGAUCGAACAGGAUUAGAUACCCUGGUAGUC
rnacentral:rRNA from 1 species